rnacentral:rRNA from 1 species
CUUGGUCAUUUAGAGGAAGUAAAAGUCGUAACAAGGUCUCCGUAGGUGAACCUGCGGAGGGAUCAUUACAAGUGACCCCGGUUUACCACCGGGAUGUUCAUAACCCUUUGUUGUCCGACUCUGUUGCCUCCGGGGCGACCCUGCCUUCGGGCGGGGGCUCCGGGUGGACACUUCAAACUCUUGCGUAACUUUGCAGUCUGAGUAAACUUAAUUAAUAAAUUAAAACUUUUAACAACGGAUCUCUUGGUUCUGGCAUCGAUGAAGAACGCAGCGAAAUGCGAUAAGUAAUGUGAAUUGCAGAAUUCAGUGAAUCAUCGAAUCUUUGAACGCACAUUGCGCCCCCUGGUAUUCCGGGGGGCAUGCCUGUUCGAGUGUCAUUUCACCACUCAAGCCUCGCUUGGUAUUGGGCAACGCGGUCCGCCGCGUGCCUCAAAUCGACCGGCUGGGUCUUCUGUCCCCUAAGCGUUGUGGAAACUAUUCGCUAAAGGGUGCUCGGGAGGCUACGCCGUAAAACAACCCCAUUUCUAAGGUUGACCUCGGAUCAGGUAGGGAUACCCGCUGAACUUAAGCAUAUCAAUAAGCGGAGGA